CAGCAGCCGCGGGAAUACGAAGGGUGCAAGCGUUAAUCGGAAUUACUGGGCGUAAAGCGUGCGCAGGCGGUUGUGUAAGACAGGCGUGAAAUCCCCGGGCUCAACCAGGGAAUGGCGCUUGUGACUGCAAAGCUAGAGUGCGGCAGAGGGGGAUGGAAUUCCGCGUGUAGCAGUGAAAUGCGUAGAUAUGCGGAGGAACACCGAUGGCGAAGGCAAUCCCCUGGGCCUGCACUGACGCUCAUGCACGAAAGCGUGGGGAGCAAACAGGAUUAGAUACCCCGGUAGUCCCUGUCUCUUAUAC
rnacentral:rRNA from 1 species